rnacentral:ncRNA from 14 species
GAUGAUGAAGAACCUUUCGGGCCCUGAUGGAUGAUGGAGGCCUCCCUAUCUGAGG